rnacentral:rRNA from 1 species
CAGCCGCCGCGGUAAUACGUAGGGUGCGAGCGUUAAUCGGAUUUACUGGGCGUAAAGCGUGCGCAGGCGGCCCGUUAAGACAGGUGUGAAAUCCCUGGGCUCAACCUAGGAAUUGCGCUUGUGACUGGCGGGCUCGAGUACGGUAGAGGGGGGUGGAAUUCCUGGUGUAGCAGUGAAAUGCGUAGAGAUCAGGAGGAACACCGAUGGCGAAGGCAGCCCCCUGGGCCUGUACUGACGCUCAUGCACGAAAGCGUGGGGAGCAAACAGGAUUAGAUACCCUGGUAGUCCACGCCCUAAACGAUGGGUACUAGCCGUUUGGUGCGCGAUAGCGCUGAGUGGCGAAGCUAACGCGUGAAGUACCCCGCCUGGGGAGUACGGCCGCAAGGUUGAAACUUAAAGGAAUUGGCGGG